rnacentral:rRNA from 1 species
UACGUAGGGUGCGAGCGUUAAUCGGAAUUACUGGGCGUAAAGCGUGCGCAGGCGGUUCGUUGUGUCGGCGGUGAAAGCCCCGGGCUUAACCUGGGAAUGGCCGUUGAAACUGGCGAACUGGAGUGUGGCAGAGGGGGUGGAAUUCCGCGUGUAGCAGUGAAAUGCGCAGAGUAUCGGGAAGAACACCCGUGGCGAAGGCGGCACUCUGGGACGGUACUGGACGCUGAGACGCGAAAGCGUGGGGAGCGAACAGG